rnacentral:rRNA from 1 species
GACGAACGCUGGCGGCGUGCCUAAUACAUGCAAGUUGAGCGAUGAAGAUUGGUGCUUGCACCAAUUUGAAGAGCAGCGAACGGGUGAGUAACGCGUGGGGAAUCUGCCUUUGAGCGGGGGACAACAUUUGGAAACGAAUGCUAAUACCGCAUAACAACUUUAAACAUAAGUUUUAAGUUUGAAAGAUGCAAUUGCAUCACUCAAAGAUGAUCCCGCGUUGUAUUAGCUAGUUGGUGAGGUAAAGGCUCACCAAGGCGAUGAUACAUAGCCGACCUGAGAGGGUGAUCGGCCACCUUGGGACUGAGACACGGCCCAAACUCCUACGGGAGGCAGCAGUAGGGAAUCUUCGGCAAUGGACGAAAGUCUGGCCGAGCAACGCCGCGUGAGUGAAGAAGGUUUUCGGAUCGUAAAACUCUGUUGGUAGAGAAGAACGUUGGUGAGAGUGGAAAGCUCAUCAAGUGACGGUAACUACCCAGAAAGGGACGGCUAACUACGUG